GACCUCAAGUCAUGUGAAAGUACCCGCUGAACUUAA
rnacentral:rRNA from 1 species